rnacentral:rRNA from 1 species
UACGUAGGGGGCCAGCGUUGUCCGGAAUCAUUGGGCGUAAAGCGCGCGUAGGCGGCCAGACAAGUCCGGUGUGAAAGUCACAGGCUCAACCUGUGAAUGCCGCUGGAAACUGUCUGGCUAGAGUCCGGAAGGGGCGAGUGGAAUUCCUGGUGUAGCGGUGAAAUGCGUAGAUAUUGGGAGGAACACCAGUGGCGAAGGCGGCUACCUGGACCGGUUCUGACGCUGAGGCGCGAAAGCGUGGGUAGCAAACAGG